AGUCCGCUUUUGCCGGGUCGGUCGAGAAGACGUCGCCUCAGGCUGGCUCCAGCCUCCUUAUCCGACGACGGGACCGCGGAAUAUAUUUCGAAAGUGAAGUGAAAAAAAAUUCAAUUGUCAAGAACAAAUAAUUAUAAACUAAAAGAAAAAUUCGUAUGUUUCACUUGGAUAGCAAACUGUGAACUACCAAUGAAAAGACAAUAAAAAAGAUAUAUAAAAAGUAAAAUAGCGCAUGUCGAAGGAGAAGAGGAAACGAAAAUAAAUAAAAAAAAUAAGAGAGAAUUUGUUUCAAUCCGACCGUUGCAUUAUACAGAGACGUGUGAAAUAAAUCUUGAAAAAAAACUGAAAUAAAAACAAUCUUUGUUAUUUUAUUCACCGAGAUAGACCUGAAUUAGGCUUCGUGAAGUUUCAUCUCUAUCUCUCUCUCUUUCGUGCACGCGCGCGCGGUUGUCUCAAAGGGAGAGAUAGAGUGAGCGAAAUUGUGACUUUGAGACAGUGCAAAUAAUCCUUUUUUCCUCUCUCUCCUUCGACAUUUCACGAUUCAUUUAACGUCGCCGCAAGAAUAACCUGUCCAGUUGACCCAGAGCGUCAGAUCCAGUAAAAGGU